rnacentral:rRNA from 1 species
UACCAGCACCCCGAGUGGUCGGGACGAUUAUUGGGCCUAAAGCAUCCGUAGCCGGUUCUACAAGUCUUCCGUUAAAUCCACCUGCUUAACAGAUGGGCUGCGGAGGAUACUAUAGAGCUAGGAGGCGGGAGAGGCAAGCGGUACUUAGUGGGUAGGGGUAAAAUCCGUUGAUCCAUUGAAGACCACCAGUGGCGAAGGCGGCUCGCCAGAACGCACUCGACGGUGAGGGAUGAAAGCUGGGGGAGCAAACCGG